UGAAUACGAGACGCUAAGGCGUCGAAGUAGUGUAUGUCAUACUUCCAAGAAAAGCUGCACUGUCAUAGAUAAAAAACGCCUGUACCAUAACCGACACAGGUGGGUAGGUAGAGUAUACUAAGGGGCGCGAGAUAACUCUCUAAGGAACUCGGCAAAAUAACUCCGUAACUUCGGGAGAAGGAGUGCCUUAUUCGUAAGGUUGCAAUAACAAGAUCCAAGCAACUGUUUAUCAAAAACACAGGUCUCCGCUAAGUCGUAAGACGAUGUAUGGGGGCUGACGCCUGCCCAGUGCCAGAAGGUUAAAGAAGUUGGUUAGCAAUUGCGAAGCUGAUAACUGAAGCCCUGGUGAACGGCGGCCGUAACAAUAACGGUCCUAAGGUAGCGAAAUUCCUUGUCGGGUAAGUUCCGACCCGCACGAAAGGCGUAAUGAUUUGGAUACUGUCUCGGAGAGGGGCUCGGUGAAAUAGACUUGUCUGUGAAGAUGCGGACUACCUGCACCAGGACAGAAAGACCCUAUGAAGCUUUACUGUAACUUGAAAUUGAAAUUGGACUUUAUUCGCGCAGUAUAGGUGGGAGGCGUUGAUUAUAAUCUUGUGGGAUUAUUGAAGCCAUCAGUGAGAUACCACUCUUGUAAUGUUAGAUUUCUAACUUUGAAUCAUUAUCUGGUCAAAGAACAGUUUCAGGCGGGCAGUUUGACUGGGGCGGUCGCCUCCUAAACGGUAACGGAGGCGUACAAAGGUUUCCUCUGAACGGUUAGAAAUCGUAUCUAGAGUGUAAAGGCAUAAGGAAGCUUGACUGUGAGACCUACAAGUCGAGCAGGGACGAAAGUCGGUCUUAGUGAUCUGACGGUACUGAGUGGAAAGGCCGUCACUCAACGGAUAAAAGUUACUCUAGGAUAACAGGCUGAUCUCCCCCAAGAGUUCACAUCGACGGGGAGGUUUGGCACCUCGAUGUCGGCUCAUCGCAUCCUGGGGCGGUAGUACGUCCCAAGGGUUGGGCUGUUCGCCCAUGAAAGCGGUACGCGAGCUGGGUUCAGAACGUCGUGAGACAGUUCGGUCCAUAUCCGGUGUAGGCGUUAGAAUAUUGAGAGGAGCCUUCUUUAGUACGAGAGGACCGAGAAGGACAUACCUCUGGUGUACCAGUUAUCGUGCCAACGGUAAACGCUGGGUAGCUAUGUAUGGAGUGGAUAACCGCUGAAAGCAUCUAAGUGGGAAGCCCACCUCAAGAUAAGUAUUCUC
rnacentral:rRNA from 1 species